rnacentral:lncRNA from 1 species
GCUCGGGCCGUUCGUCGCGUGAAUCUCGCUGCUCGCCGACCGCUUCUCCCCCUGAAAUCGGGCUCGACUCUGGGAUAAAACCGAGGGCCGUCCCCUCCCCAGCAACAUCCACCACGGCUGCGCGGGCGCCGUUCAUCCCAUGGCGGAGACUCCCUACCCGGACUGCUCGGCCAGAACUUCCGUUCAUCCCAUUGCGAGCUCCUCUGCCGCGCCCCUGCUUCCCCAUGGCCCCUCGCCAGCCGUUGAAACUCCACCGUGCACGCGUCCCUGCUAGCGCCUUCCGUCGACCUCCCUGGCCGCCGUGCUUCAGGACCGGUGUGAGGGUAGACGAGUGAGAGACCACGCCGCGCGGCCGCACUUCCAGCCUGCCUCGCCGGGUCGCUAGAAUCACGGCGUCUCCGCCAUGUUGCCCUGACGGAGGCCACCAUCGCCGCAGGGAAGGAAGGUAAUGUCGCCACCGUAGGCGCGUGCUCGGCCCUGGGAACUCCGUCAGUGCCCCCGGCGCUCGAGCGCGGUCCGCUCGGCUGGCCUUGGAGCUUCGGGGGAUCACCACGGACCUGCUCGAGGCCUCGGUGGGUGGAGAUUGGAUCGGCGGGGCUCUGGAUUGCUCGUCGGUCUUCCGUUGUCGCCGCUGUACCACGGACCGCCGCGGCCGGGUGUAACCACUGCAGUUUCGGUGAGAACCACCCCAUUCCGCUCCGCGUUCAUGUGCGCAUCAUGUAGGACUUGUUGAAUCUGGGUGUGUGGCGGCGAUUUGGGCGUUGGUCGCCGCGGCGGCGAGAGCGCCACCGCGGAUGGACGGUGCCGCCGCGCCGGAGUGCGAAUUUGGGAAGGAGCGAAUCUGACCGUUCCAUCACAGGGUAACGGUCUCGAUUUAGUCGGGCAUGCGGAUCGGAUCUGGUGAUGGCGUGGCGCACUGUGGGCCGUGGGAUCGUGAUCCAAGCAUGUGCGGAGCCGUACCGCUUCGGGAGGUCAUAAAUCUAAUCUGGACCGUGCCUUUUAGAUCUAACGGCCAGAAUCAAUCUUACCGUUUCGGCCAGGUAACUUUGUAAAAGAGACCCUGCGAAAUAGAAGAACCAACCCGCAGUCCUCGGCCAAAGACUCUGGGUCUGCUGACUUUUUGUGUUAACGCCCCUGCACUUACUAAUAAUAAUGCGCCCAGUCCAGAAGAUUAGAAAAAUCAGGAAAAUGCAUACUUAGUCCAAAUUUAUUCAUUCCAAUUUGUAUAAUUUUGUAAUAUUAUUGUCUAUCACUUAGUACCACUGUUUGACAUGAAACCUAUGUUAAAUUGGAUCACCUAAUUAAUGUUGUAUUAACACAUAUAUUCGGAAAUUCAUAACUCCUCCGUUUUAAUUUCGAUUUGACUCGUUCGAGUUGCGUUAGCUUCGUAUAAAUAUUUACUACGCAGUAGCAACAUUUGUUAUAUGAUAUCCCCUACUUUUAUAAUUUGGUAACUAAUUAGAUUAAUCUGUGUCUAUUGGAUUAACCUCUUUAAUAUUAAAUAUAGUAUUCUCACUUAUGGUUAUAAUUUGACUAGAUGAUUUUUAAUCAAAUAAUGACUUGGAUUAAAGUUGAGAUAAUUAUUUAUAGAAUAAUCACUCAUAUGGUUUAUAUUAACCAAUUUAUAAUAUAUUUUUAUAUUUUAAUCACAUAAAUCCUCUAUAAAAUCAUAACUCCUUAACCAUAACUCCGAUUUUAGUGGUUCUCGUCUCUCACGAUCUCAUAGAAAUGCGUAGAAUAUUCUUAUUCAGUUUGUACUUAUGUUUGAUGUGAUGUUAAUUUUAUCUAUACCAUGUUUGUUUGUAUUGCUACGACUAGCAGUGAGGUCACGAGGAUCUGAAGAAUCACCCUAGUAACUGGAAUCUCAAGUGCCAGGCAAGUUGUGCCCUUGAUCCACUUUUGUUACCCAAUAAUAUUCUUUAUUAUCAUUAUUCAAUGCAUAGGUUUAAUUUUGAUGGGACCCAAUAGGUCACCCUAGUCUGUUUAUCAUGUUACCCUUGUUUACCCCUAAAUCACUUGGGUAGUUCUGCUAUUGCUUUAUAUGGUUUUGGGAUUAAUAUUUCAUUAUAUCCAUGUUCCAAUUAUUCAGUUAUUUUACUUGUGUUCAUGUCAAGAUCAUUAAAUGUUAAUUGGAACAUGAAGCUUAACUUAAGAAACAUGUGCCACCACAAGGGUUUAAUGGGACGCCCUUGGCCAACUAACUAGGAGAGCUAGUGGAAGACUACCUUACCCGAAAGGGGCAAGGGCAGUAGGGGAGUUGCAUGCAAGGAGGUUCUCGGGUUGAUUUUGCUGCGAUGGCGGUCAGACGAGGGAUUCAUGCAAGUGCUCUUCCCAUAAACUGUAGCAGGUUUUCGGAAGCUAGUGGAACUUUGUAAAGGCCUCGUAGUGGAUCCCUAGCCAUUCACCUCGGUAGUGUCUAAGGGUCUUGCAAACCCUGGUGACAUGGGAUACACGACUUGUGGGUACAGGGUACAACCUCUACAGAGUGUAAAACUGGUAUACUAGCUAAGCUCACGGUCAUGAGCAGCUCAGGACUCUCGCAUGAUUAAAUUAUGGAACUUAAAUUCAAUUUUGUCAUUUGCAUUUGCAUGGGAUUAUUUAUUAAAUUUGUUCUAUUAUUUAUUUUGGUUUGGUAUUUACUUACAUUUAGUAAUUGCUAAUAAAACUUUGACCAACUUUAAAAGCAAUGCUCAACUUUAAACCCCUAUUGUUGAUCAGCUUUACACAUCACAUGAACUCCCACCAUUGGUGAGUUCAUGCCACAUUAUUCCCCACAACUUGUUGAGCGAUGAACAUGUGUGAGCUCACCCUUGCUGUCUCACACCCCCCACAGGAGAAGAAAAGGUAGUUCAAGAGGAGCCACACAACGAGGAGUUCGAUUCGAUCUUGGUGGUGUCUCCCAGUUGACUUGUGUCAAGGAUGAUCCUUAGUUCGUUUUAUAUUUAUAAUUUAUUUUGUAAGUCUUACGCUAUGUAAUAAAUACUCUGAUUAUUAUGACAUUUAUCUCUAUACACUCUGUUAUUAUAUAUGUUGUCUUCUUUG